UACGUAGGUGGCAAGCGUUAUCCGGAAUUAUUGGGCGUAAAGCGCGCGCAGACGGUUUCUUAAGUCUGAUGUGAAAGCCCACGGCUCAACCGUGGAGGGUCAUUGGAAACUGGGGAACUUGAGUGCAGAAGAGAAAAGCGGAAUUCCACGUGUAGCGGUGAAAUGCGUAGAGAUGUGGAGGAACACCAGUGGCGAAGGCGGCUUUUUGGUCUGUAACUGACGCUGAGGCGCGAAAGCGUGGGGAGCAAACAGG
rnacentral:rRNA from 1 species